rnacentral:rRNA from 1 species
UGGGGAAUAUUGCACAAUGGGCGGAAGCCUGAUGCAGCAACGCCGCGUGAGGGAUGACGGCCUUCGGGUUGUAAACCGCUUUCGCCUGUGACGAAGCGUGAGUGACGGUAAUGGGUAAAGAAGCACCGGCUAACUACGUGCCAGCAGCCGCGGUAAUACGUAGGGUGCGAGCGUUGUCCGGAUUUAUUGGGCGUAAAGGGCUCGUAGGUGGUUGAUCGCGUCGGAAGUGUAAUCUUGGGGCUUAACCCUGAGCGUGCUUUCGAUACGGGUUGACUUGAGGAAGGUAGGGGAGAAUGGAAUUCCUGGUGGAGCGGUGGAAUGCGCAGAUAUCAGGAGGAACACCAGUGGCG